CGCAUCUGUGCAUGCAGCAUAUCAAUAAGCGGAGGAAAAGAAACUAACAAGGAUUCCCCUAGUAACGGCGAGUGAAGCGGGAAGAGCUCAAAUUUGAAAUCUUAAAGGGUUUCCCUUUACGAAUUGUAGUUUAAAGAAGUGUUUUCUGUUGAGGUUUUGGUAAAGGUUCUUUGGAAUAGGACAUCAUAGAGGGUGAGAAUCCCGUAUUUGACCUUUACUUUCAACUUUGUGAUACACUUUCAAAGAGUCGGAUUGUUUGGGAAUGCAGUCCAAAAUGGGUGGUAAAUUUCAUCUAAAGCUAAAUAUUGGCGAGAGACCGAUAGCGAACAAGUACCGUGAGGGAAAGAUGAAAAGAACUUUGGAAAAGAGAGUUAAACAGUACGUGAAAUUGUCAAAAGGGAAGCGUUUGACACCAGUGUUGUUUUUCUGAAAAUCAAUUAAAGAACUGUUUAUGCUAAGUUGUUUAGACUUUAUCAGCUAUCUGUUUAGUUUUGAGCUUUUCUUUAAUGCACUUUUCAGUUAACAAGUCAACAUCAAUUUCUUUUGCUGUAAAAAAGCUUGAGGAAGGUGGCUUGAGAUUCGUCUUAAGUGUUUAUAGCCUCUUGCCUAUGCAGUCGGAGAGAUUGAGGUCUGCAGCGUAGAUCCUUCGGGGCUAAAUGCAUUUGUGCUAAGUUAUAGCAUUUUAUAGACAACUUGUUGACUAUGAUUUGUCUUGUAGCUUACUCGCUUAUGUUAUUUUACCUACGCUUAGGAUGUUGAGUCGUAGAGCACGCAG
rnacentral:rRNA from 1 species